CGUGAUUAUCACAGAGUCUCUGGGAAGAGAGUAGCCAUGCUUAUCAAAUAGAUUAAAGGUGCCAUGAUCUGGACAGGGGGCUUUUCAAUGUCAUCCCUGUAUAUGAAAUGGCUGCAUGGUAAGCC